ACGCUGGCGGCGUGCCUAAUACAUGCAAGUAGAACGCUGAAGGAGGAGCUUGCUUCUCUGGAUGAGUUGCGAACGGGUGAGUAACGCGUAGGUAACCUGCCUGGUAGCGGGGGAUAACUAUUGGAAACGAUAGCUAAUACCGCAUAACAGUAGAUGUUGCAUGACAUUUGCUUAAAAGGUGCAAUUGCAUCACUACCAGAUGGACCUGCGUUGUAUUAGCUAGUUAGUGGGGUAACGGCUCACCAAGGCGACGAUACAUAGCCGACCUGAGAGGGUGAUCGGCCACACUGGGACUGAGACACGGCCCAGACUCCUACGGGAGGCAGCAGUAGGGAAUCUUCGGCAAUGGACGGAAGUCUGACCGAGCAACGCCGCGUGAGUGAAGAAGGUUUUCGGAUCGUAAAGCUCUGUUGUAAGAGAAGAACAGGUAUGAGAGUGGAAAGUUCACACUGUGACGGUAUCUUACCAGAAAGGGACGGCUAACUACGUGCCAGCAGCCGCGGUAAUACGUAGGUCCCGAGCGUUGUCCGGAUUUAUUGGGCGUAAAGCGAGCGCAGGCGGUUAGAUAAGUCUGAAGUUAAAGGCUGUGGCUUAACCAUAGUACGCUUUGGAAACUGUUUAACUUGAGUGCAAGAGGGGAGAGUGGAAUUCCAUGUGUAGCGGUGAAAUGCGUAGAUAUAUGGAGGAACACCGGUGGCGAAAGCGGCUCUCUGGCUUGUAACUGACGCUGAGGCUCGAAAGCGUGGGGAGCAAACAGGAUUAGAUACCCCUGGUAGUCCACGCCGUAAACGAUGAGUGCUAGGUGUUAGACCCUUUCCGGGGUUUAGUGCCGCAGCUAACGCAUUAAGCACUCCGCCUGGGGAGUACGACCGCAAGGUUGAAACUCAAAGGAAUUGACG
rnacentral:rRNA from 1 species